rfam:Aedes aegypti strain Liverpool supercont1.255 genomic scaffold, whole genome shotgun sequence.
UGCCCAGCAACUCCUAUCCAUACCUCCUCGUGGUACUGGCCGGGGUACGAGUAACCUUGGGGAAGCUCGGGUAACCAACCCCAUGUGGGAACUUUGGUCGUAUGCUGACAGGGAAGG